rnacentral:rRNA from 1 species
CCUACGGGUGGCUGCAGUGGGGAAUAUUGGACAAUGGGGGGAACCCUGAUCCAGCCAUGCCGCGUGUGUGAAGAAGGCCCUCGGGUUGUAAAGCACUUUCAGUGAGGAAGAACGCCUGGUGGUUAAUACCCAUCAGGAAAGACAUCACUCACAGAAGAAGCACCGGCUAACUCCGUGCCAGCAGCCGCGGUAAUACGGAGGGUGCGAGCGUUAAUCGGAAUUACUGGGCGUAAAGCGCGCGUAGGUGGCUUGAUAAGCCGGUUGUGAAAGCCCCGGGCUCAACCUGGGAACGGCAUCCGGAACUGUCAAGCUAGAGUGCAGGAGAGGAAGGUAGAAUUCCCGGUGUAGCGGAGAAAUGCGUAGAGAUCGGGAGGAAUACCAGUGGCGAAGGCGGCCUUCUGGACUGACACUGACACUGAGGUGCGAAAGCGUGGGUAGCAAACAGGAUUAGAUACCCGAGUAGUC